GACGAACGCUGGCGGCGUGCUUAACACAUGCAAGUCGAACGAAGAGCGAUGGAAGCUUGCUUCUAUCAAUCUUAGUGGCGAACGGGUGAGUAACGCGUAAUCAACCUGCCCUUCAGAGGGGGACAACAGUUGGAAACGACUGCUAAUACCGCAUACGAUCUAAUCUCGGCAUCGAGGAUAGAUGAAAGGUGGCCUCUACAUGUAAGCUAUCACUGAAGGAGGGGAUUGCGUCUGAUUAGCUAGUUGGAGGGGUAACGGCCCACCAAGGCGAUGAUCAGUAGCCGGUCUGAGAGGAUGAACGGCCAAAUUGGGACUGAGACACGGCCCAGACUCCUACGGGAGGCAGCAGUGGGGAAUCUUCCGCAAUGGACGAAAGUCUGACGGAGCAACGCCGCGUGAGUGAUGACGGCCUUCGGGUUGUAAAGCUCUGUUAAUCGGGACGAAAGGCCUUCUUGCGAAUAGUGAGAAGGAUUGACGGUACCGGAAUAGAAAGCCACGGCUAACUACGUG
rnacentral:rRNA from 1 species